GAAACUUCAUGCUUUGAAAUGAGCCCAGUUGUAUUAUAGGACAAUUUUUUUCAUGAAGUUUCAAGUUUAAAUAUCGACAAUUUUUCAUUAAAACUUGAGUGAUUCUUUAAUUUUUCACACCAGUGCAUAUAUAUUGGACCAAUGAUCUGUGACGUACAGAGAUAUCCUUGAUGACACUUUAAAUAAACCAUCCAUCAUCAGGGCAUGCAUCCUCAUCUGAUAUCUUGAAGUACUAAUAACACAGUAUGUGUUACUCACAAUGCGUGAACAGGUCAUAUGUAUAGAACUUCACAAGCUGGCAUGAACUAUUGUAUCUUUAUUGUUUUUAUUAUUAAGCUAAUUUGUACAAAUUACUUGUAUCAGUUUUGUAUUCAAUCAUACAUCUUUUCACACCAAACCAACACCAGGAAUUGCAUAAAUAAUGCAAGUAUUUUUAUCUUUUCAAAACAGGAUCAAGUAGAACAAUUUAUUUAACACAAAUCAUUGAAAUAUAUUUUUUUAUCUUCUACAAUGGCAUUUUAUUAAACUUUUCUAAAUCAUUAUCAAAUUUUACAGAUGUUUAUAUUAUUCAUAAAAUGAUAUAUUAUUAUAAUAUAUUUCAAUUUCCAUCUUUAUAAUAUUAAACAAUGUUGCUAUAUACCUUCCUCAUACUUUCUUGACUAGAUAAUGUAAAUCUUAUUGAAUAUAAUUGCUUAGGAUAUUUUAAGUAUGUAUACGCAGCAUGUGCGGCUUUAAUUAAUAUACAUAAAUAUCACUGAAAGAUUUUUUACUCAAUUUUAAAAAAUAACUUUAAAUGCUUUUGGAAAAUUCAUAUACCAGAAAUCAGUUAGAGAGUAAACUCAACUUAAAGUGAGCUAUUUACCUAAUGAUUGUAUCAUUAAUAAUUUUAAUGAUAUUUAUGUGCAUUGAUUAAAAUGAGAUCUGUAUAUAUAAAAUUUUGAUUAGUAAAUUUGUCGAUUACUACAUGUAUUCUACACUGUCACAUUAAUACUUUCAUAAUUUUAUUAUAUAAAAUUCAAAUUAUCAUCAAAUUUUAUUAAACGAAAAUUAUCACCAAAAAAAUAAAUAUAUAUUUAUAGUAUUUUCAA